UCAGGCCUAACACAUGCAAGUCGAGCGGGGUUUUCGGACCUAGCGGCGGACGGGUGAGUAAUGCGUAGGAAGCUACCCGAUAGAGGGGGAUACCAGUUGGAAACGACUGUUAAUACCGCAUAAUGUCUACGGACCAAAGUGUGGGACCUUCGGGCCACAUGCUAUCGGAUGCGCCUACGUGGGAUUAGCUAGUUGGUGAGGUAAUGGCUCACCAAGGCGACGAUCUCUAGCUGGUUUGAGAGGAUGAUCAGCCACACUGGAACUGAGACACGGUCCAGACUCCUACGGGAGGCAGCAGUGGGGAAUAUUGGACAAUGGGCGCAAGCCUGAUCCAAAAGUGCCGCGUGUGUGAAGAAGGCCUUCGGGUUGU
rnacentral:rRNA from 1 species